rnacentral:rRNA from 1 species
GCCCAUGACCUUACCACCCUGAAUGUACCUGAUCUUGUUUGAUCUCAGAAACUAAGCAAGGCCAGACCUGUUAAUACUUUGAUGGUAUAAGAGGGGCAAGAUUUCUUUUGUU